GACGAAGCGUGCGAACGUUGUUCGGAAUCACUGGGUUUAAAGGGCGCGUAGGCGGGCUGUCAAGUCGGUGGUGAAAUCGUUCCGCUCAACGGGACAAUGGCCUUCGAUACUGGCGGUCUGGAGGGAGGUAGGGGCAUGCGGAACUUCCGGUGGAGCGGUGAAAUGCGUAGAUAUCGGAAGGAACACCGAUGGCGAAAGCAGCGUGCUGGACCUUUUCUGACGCUGAGGCGCGAAAGCCAGGGGAGCAAACGGG
rnacentral:rRNA from 1 species